GGGUUGUGAGGUUAAGCGACUAAGCGUACACGGUGGAUGCCCUGGCAGUCAGAGGCGAUGAAGGGCGUGCUAAUCUGCGAUAAGCGCCGGUAAGGUGAUAUGAACCGUUAUAACCGGCGAUACCCGAAUGGGGAAACCCAGUGCAAUCCGUUGCACUAUCAUGUCAUGAAUACAUAGUGGCAUGAGGCGAACCGGGGGAACUGAAACAUCUAAGUACCCCGAGGAAAAGAAAUCAACCGAGAUUCCCCCAGUAGCGGCGAGCGAACGGGGAGGAGCCCAGAACCUGAAUCAGCAUGUGUGUUAGUGGAAGCGUCUGGAAAGUCGCAGGGUACAGGGUGAUACUCCCGUACACAAAAAUGCAUAUGUUGUGAGUUCGAAGAGUAGGGCGGGACACGUGGUAUCCUGUCUGAAUAUGGGGGGACCAUCCUCCAAGGCUAAAUACUCCUGACUGACCGAUAGUGAACCAGUACCGUGAGGGAAAGGCGAAAAGAACCCCGGCGAGGGGGAGUGAAACAGAACCUGAAACCGUGUACGUACAAGCAGUGGGAGCCUCUUUUAUGGGGUGACUGCGUACCUUUUGUAUAAUGGGUCAGCGACUUAUAUUCUGUAGCAAGGUUAACCGUAUAGGGGAGCCGAAGGGAAACCGAGUCUUAACUGGGCGUUAAGUUGCAGGGUAUAGACCCGAAACCCGGUGAUCUAGCCAUGGGCAGGUUGAAGGUUGGGUAACACUAACUGGAGGACCGAACCGACUAAUGUUGAAAAAUUAGCGGAUGACUUGUGGCUGGGGGUGAAAGGCCAAUCAAACCGGGAGAUAGCUGGUUCUCCCCGAAAGCUAUUUAGGUAGCGCCUCGUGAAUUCAUCUUCGGGGGUAGAGCACUGUUUCGGCUAGGGGGUCAUCCCGACUUACCAACCCGAUGCAAACUGCGAAUACCGAAGAAUGUUAUCACGGGAGACACACGGCGGGUGCUAACGUCCGUCGUGAAGAGGGAAACAACCCAGACCGCCAGCUAAGGUCCCAAAGUCAUGGUUAAGUGGGAAACGAUGUGGGAAGGCACAGACAGCCAGGAUGUUGGCUUAGAAGCAGCCAUCAUUUAAAGAAAGCGUAAUAGCUCACUGGUCGAGUCGGCCUGCGCGGAAGAUGUAACGGGGCUAAACCAUGCACCGAAGCUGCGGCAGCGACACUUAUGUGUUGUUGGGUAGGGGAGCGUUCUGUAAGCCGUUGAAGGUGGACUGUGAGGUCUGCUGGAGGUAUCAGAAGUGCGAAUGCUGACAUAAGUAACGAUAAAGCGGGUGAAAAACCCGCUCGCCGGAAGACCAAGGGUUCCUGUCCAACGUUAAUCGGGGCAGGGUGAGUCGACCCCUAAGGCGAGGCCGAAAGGCGUAGUCGAUGGGAAACAGGUUAAUAUUCCUGUACUCGGUGUUACUGCGAAGGGGGGACGGAGAAGGCUAUGUUGGCCGGGCGACGGUUGUCCCGGUUUAAGCGUGUAGGUGGAGCAAUUAGGUAAAUCCGGUUGCUUAUUAACACUGAGGCGUGAUGACGAGGCACUACGGUGCUGAAGUGACAAAUGCCCUGCUUCCAGGAAAAGCCUCUAAGCAUCAGGUAACACAGAAUCGUACCCCAAACCGACACAGGUGGUCAGGUAGAGAAUACCAAGGCGCUUGAGAGAACUCGGGUGAAGGAACUAGGCAAAAUGGUGCCGUAACUUCGGGAGAAGGCACGCUGGUGCGUAGGUGAAGUGACUUGCUCACGGAGCUGAAACCAGUCGAAGAUACCAGCUGGCUGCAACUGUUUAUUAAAAACACAGCACUGUGCAAACACGAAAGUGGACGUAUACGGUGUGACGCCUGCCCGGUGCCGGAAGGUUAAUUGAUGGGGUUAGCGGCAACGCGAAGCUCUUGAUCGAAGCCCCGGUAAACGGCGGCCGUAACUAUAACGGUCCUAAGGUAGCGAAAUUCCUUGUCGGGUAAGUUCCGACCUGCACGAAUGGCGUAAUGAUGGCCAGGCUGUCUCCACCCGAGACUCAGUGAAAUUGAAAUCGCUGUGAAGAUGCAGUGUACCCGCGGCAAGACGGAAAGACCCCGUGAACCUUUACUAUAGCUUGACACUGAACACUGGUCCUUGAUGUGUAGGAUAGGUGGGAGGCUUUGAAGCGUGGACGCCAGUCUGCGUGGAGCCAACCUUGAAAUACCACCCUUUAAUGGCUGGUGUUCUAACGUAGACCCGUAAUCCGGGUUGCGGACAGUGUCUGGUGGGUAGUUUGACUGGGGCGGUCUCCUCCUAAAGCGUAACGGAGGAGCACGAAGGUUAGCUAAUCCUGGUCGGACAUCAGGAGGUUAGUGCAAUGGCAUAAGCUAGCUUGACUGCGAGCGUGACGGCGCGAGCAGGUGCGAAAGCAGGUCAUAGUGAUCCGGUGGUUCUGAAUGGAAGGGCCAUCGCUCAACGGAUAAAAGGUACUCCGGGGAUAACAGGCUGAUACCGCCCAAGAGUUCAUAUCGACGGCGGUGUUUGGCACCUCGAUGUCGGCUCAUCACAUCCUGGGGCUGAAGUAGGUCCCAAGGGUAUGGCUGUUCGCCAUUUAAAGUGGUACGCGAGCUGGGUUUAGAACGUCGUGAGACAGUUCGGUCCCUAUCUGCCGUGGGCGCUGGAGAAUUGAGGGGGGCUGCUCCUAGUACGAGAGGACCGGAGUGGACGCAUCACUGGUGUUCGGGUUGUCAUGCCAAUGGCAUUGCCCGGUAGCUAAAUGCGGAAGAGAUAAGUGCUGAAAGCAUCUAAGCACGAAACUUGCCCCGAGAUGAGUUCUCCCUGACCCUUUAAGGGUCCUGAAGGAACGUUGAAGACUACGACGUUGAUAGGCCGGGUGUGUAAGCGCAGCGAUGCGUUGAGCUAACCGGUACUAAUGAACCGUGAGGCUUAACCUUACAACGCCGAAG
rnacentral:rRNA from 1 species